AAAUUCUUCUUAUUGUGCAAGCUCUUGAUCUUGAAGGUUAUUUGCUUAGAACAAUAGUGUGUCCCCCUUGUUUCAUCCUGAACAGAAAUGAAAACUCUUUAAUAAUCAAUCUAUAAUUUGUGACCUAGGCCAUAAUAGACCAAUUCAUCUUGAGUGGGCUUUUUUUUUUUCUUCUUUCUAAGCUAAUGUUUGGUCGUAUUGUUCAAUGUAAAAUUGUUGUUGAAGUGUGACAUAUUUUUUUAUCAUUUGUUCUUCAUCAACUCCAAAUCUCGAGUACAACAUCUUCAAUAUACGUUUUUGUAAGAAGCUUUAAAGGGUUCUUUGAGUAUUACUAACUAUUUUCUACAAAUGUAGAUUGUUGAUAAUUUGUCUGCAAUUGGUAAGCCUAUCACUAAUGAGCAAUUGUUGAUGUGCAUCUUUGGUGGUUUAGUCAUGAAUUUGAUGAUGUAACGAUCCAUCUUCAAUCAAGAAAAGAUUUUGUCUCUAUUGAAGAAGCUCAAUUUCUUUUUCAAAAUUAUGAGAUGAGAAUUAAAAAACUCUUAACUCUAUUUCAAGAAUCAAUAAUCGACCCUUUGCUAACUUUGUUGCCAAGGCCACAAAAGAAAUAAGUACCAUUUCUCUAGAGCUCCUAACGGUAGUUCUUUUGUAGUGGUCAUAUUUAUAAUGACAAAAAUUUUAUGUAGCAUCUCUAAAUUCACCAAGGAUAACAAUAUAGUUGUCGAAUUAUAUGAUGAUUGUUGUCUUGUGAAGGACAAGAACAGGAGGAGGAUUUUGAUGUAGGGCAAGCUUGAAGGAGGGCUUUAUCAACUCGAUGUUCUAGUUUUCUCUACUUCUAGCUUCAAUUUUCCUUUAGUUUCUUUAGCACAUGUUAAAUCUAAUGAGUCUUGUACGAAGGUUAUGGACGCUUGGUCAUCCUUAUGACCAAGUGUUGAAUGAUGUACUCACGAUUUUACAUUUGUCUCUUAUAGCUAAGAAUCUUCAAUUCUGUGAAGCUAGUCAGUCGGAAAAACAGGCUAGAUGGUUUUAGAGCUAAGGACUUUGCUUCUAGAAUCUUCUAAUUGUAUUCAAGAAGAUCAAAAGCCCUAAUAAAUUGCUGGAAACUCCUAUGAAGAAACACUUUGAAAUUGUUUCUCUUAUUAAUUUUGUAUGCUUUAGAUCAAUGUCACAUGAAACUAUGGGGGCACACCCAUCUAAAAAAAGGCCCCUCUUUCCUCAGACCCCUUCUUGUAUUUCUUUUUCUUAAUCACCAAAAGGCCUUAUUCCCUACAAAUUUUCUUGCAAACCAAACAUCAGGGGGAAACUUCAACCUUUCUUUUCCUUACUUUCCCCCACCCUCCCUCAACAGAACACUUUAGUUUAAUUACAAAGCUCCGACAGUACUUCAAAGAUUGGAAAAAAUACACAAGGGAGAAACAGAAAAACUAAUCAAAAUUCCAUAGAUUUACCAAAUUCUCACUGGAUCUAGAAGAAAAAACAUACAAAGAUCGUCUCAUCUACAUACAAAACCUCUCACUUAUCCUUAAUUCAGACAUGAAACAUCCCUAGAACCCUUAUCCACAGCUGCUGCAGUCAACCUCUCAGCGACAAAGUGUGGGAAGCAACAAUCCACUCGGGUCAACCAGGAAACCCCAAUAUUCCUCCAUGAAGACUCCAACACCAGCAAAACAACAUACAGAAACACCACCACAGAGAUUGCAGUGGAGAGACAAAGCUGAUCUUCUGUCAAACUCAACAACAUCUUCACACAUAGAAAUGUUUGGGGUUGGGUUGUGAGGAGUGGAGACAGAGAUAAAAGGAAGCUAUAUGCAGAUGGGAAAGGAGUUGUUUCAACGAAUUUGGUAUGGUGGAUGAAUCAAAGGUGUUCAAUCAGUGAGUGUCAGAGGGGGGCGCAUGAAGACUUCUGAGUGAAGUCAUGAUGAGGGUGUGGGCACCAUUCAUUGAAUAUGAGUGCAUGUUGCUGUGGGUUAUCACCCUUUAUCAUAUUCUUUUGAUGGAAUCUCGCUCUAAGUUCAUGCAUCACUGUUAUGUUCCCUACAAUACAUGCACCUUCUUAGGGAGGUCAAAUUUUAGAAACAUUUGUCAUUAUCUUCUAGAAUGCAAUUUUACCUUAGAAUUUAAAUAUAAUUUUCUUUUAUUCAUUUUUUCAAUGAAAUUAUUAUAUAUUUAUAUGUAAUGUAAAUUUUUUUAAGGUAUUCUUUAUAUUUUCAAUUAUUAUUUAAAAUACUAUAUAAAAAAUAACUUAAAAUACCUAAAAAUUAUAUAUUUUAAAAAGCAGUUUGCUUUCAGAACAAUUUUUUUAAAGAAAAAUAUUUUUAUUAAAUAUAUUUACUAAGUUAUAAAACUAUUUUCAUAGUUUUGUACUCAUAUCCUUGUGAUUCAAAAUAAGGGAGAUGUUUAACGAAAUUUCAAAUCAAUAAGAAUUAAACGUAUUUAGUUAAAAUCUGAUAAAAAAUGGAAGAAAUUAGUCAUGUCUUUUGAAAUUUUUUAAUAAACUCAUCUUUCUAGAUAGUCAAAGUUUGAAAUAAGAAUAAACAAAACAUUUAAGUUAUAAAGAUUGAGAUUAAAUGCAUGAACAAAGGUUACAAUGACCAAGAGCUUUCAUUUAUUAUUUUUUUUCAAGGUGACACCUCUUAUACCAUGAAUGAUUUUAGAACUUUAGAAUUCUAUACAAAUAAGCUAGUCAUAAAUAAACAAAAACUAAAAUAAAAUAAAUGGAAUGAAAAUGCAAGAUUUAACAUGAUUUAAUUACAUGCUUACAUUGAGAAAAUCAAUUCACAAAGAACAAUUACAAUCCUAAAAAGCUCUCAAAUCCCAAGUCCCAAAUGAUAUAUUUUAUGAUAUAGAGAGAUAUUUGACUUUUAAUAUUUUAUUCCAUAAAUCGUUUAUAUAUUUUUAUUGAACUCGUCUUUUCCAAAAAAACAAGUUUACUUUUUAUGAAUUUAUUUUUUAUCUUAUAAAUUUUUAUACUGAAUAUCUUCUAAAAAGAUGAGUUAAGAAUGGUUUUACUUGAGACCAAGGAUCUAUUUGACAAUUGUUUUCUAUUCUAAAAAUAAAAUAUAUUUGACAACCAAAAAUUGUUCCUAUUUUUAAUUCUUAAAAACAGAAAAUGAAGUGUUUUCAAUUUUUAAGAACAAAAAGCAGAAUGUUUUCAAAUAACAUCUUUUAGUUAUUAUUUAUUUAUUUUUUUAUAACUAUUUAAAAAAAUAAUUAUACAAGCAUAUAAAAUGAUUAAAAAUAAAACAGUAGAUAUAAAAAUUAUUUUGAAAAUAUUUUAAGUUUCUAAACAGAAUUUUGUUUUAUAAAACAUUUUUUAAAAACCAUUUUUAAAAAAACAAUAACCAAAUAAUUUAAAAUUAAAAAUAUGGUUGAUGAAAGAUUCUUUAAAAAAUUACACUACCUUGAAAAAGGCCCAUUAAUGACUUUUAGUUAUUCAUUGAAUCCAUGCACAUGUUGGCUGUCAUCACUCUCAAUGAUUUUUUUUUUCAAUUAUAAAUUUUAACCUAAAUCCUCAACUAUUCAUGGCUGUUCCAUCACUACAAGUUCUACCACCAAAUUUUCACUGUCUUGUAAGUUGUAACUAGUCUAUCAUAAUGCUUGUCUUAACAUAUAGAUGAUGAUAUCAUGAAACUUUGGUAUUGUUUGGUCCACGAGAAAAUUAACAAAUUCUUGAUUCAAUUACAUCAAUCCAAUCAAAUCAUUAUUGUUACAUCCAAACUAAUAAUAUAUUUUAUGAGUAGUAUGAAAAAAAAAAAAAUGUUGGUUUUAGUUUUGUAAGUGAAUAUUUGUAUUUUUCAAUUAUUUUUAGGUGUUGGUGAAAUUCAUUUUAUAUAAUAUUUUUUUUACAUUAAAUUAAGAAGGUGAAAUUUUUUCCCUUUUUCUUUUAAAAAAUUAAAAUAAACAUUAAUAGUAAUUUUUAUAUAAAUAUAAGGAACUUUUAAUAACUAAAGCCUGCGUGAUAACUUUAUUUUUUUAAAUAGUUUUGAAAAAUAUUUUUAAGAACGAUUAUUAAAAAUUAUUUUAUGAUAUUUUGUAUAACAAAAGAUUGUUUGAGAGUUUGAAAUAUUUUUAAUCUAUUUUUAAAUAUAUUUUAAAAAUAACUUUUAUAUCUAAUGAUUUAUUUUUAUUCAUUUUAUAUGUUUGUAUAAUUAUCUUUUAAAAUAAAUUUUUAAAAAGAAAUAAAAAAAACUAAAAACAACUAAAAAUAUUUUUUAAGAACAAAAAUAAAAAACAGUUUUAUGGUUGCCAAAAGCGUUUUCUUCUUUGUUUGUUCUAAAUAACAUAAAAUUAUUCUUGAAAAUAAUUAUCAAAUAGACCCAAAUAUUCUUAAAAAUUGAUAUCAAAAUUUAAAAAAAUGAGUAGUUAUAUUUUUUUCAAAUUAUUUUCUUUAAAAAAAGUCUCUUCCAUUUGCAUAAAGAUUAUUAUUACUUAUUUACUUUGAAAAUAGAUACAAACUCCAUCAAAACUUUUUGAUCAAAUAUUAAAGUUUGUUUGGUAAUUAUUUUUUAAAACAGUUAUGAAAAAACAACUUUUAAGAAUAGUUUUUAAAAAUUGUUCUUUAACAUUUUGUAAAAUAAAAGUCUAUUUGGAAACCUAAAAUAUUUUUAACAUGUUUUUAAUAUUUUUAAAUAUGUUUUAAAAAUAAUUUUUAUGUUUAUUAUUUUAUUUUUAAUCAUUCAACACACUUAUAUAAUUAUUAUUUUUAAAACAAUCUUAAAAAAAAACAAAUGAAAAUAAUAAAAUAAAAAAAACAACGAAAAGAUGUUUUUUGAAAGCACCAUAUUUUUUGUUCUUAAAAACAAAAAACAAAAAAUAAUUCUUAAAAUUGUUCUAUUUUUUUUUUAUAUUUUAGAUAAUAGAAAAUUGUUUUCAAGAACUAUUACCCAACUGGUCGUUAUAUAUUGGAAAACGGGUACAUGGAAUGAAUUAUCGUUUUUAAGGUAAAAUGAUCAUCUUCUAUUUUUAUAAGAAUGAUUUUGGUCUGAGUGAGAUAGAAGUGAUAAUACUUGAAAUUAAUUAUUUUCUAUAAAUUUGAUGCUUCCAAAAUUUCAUAAAAGUCGUGCUUCUAAAAAUUUAAUUCUUUUAUACCAUUUCAUCUAAAAAAAAUAUAUAUACUUUUAUAUUCAAAUAUUGAAGAAAUAAAACACUCUUAUAAAAGUUCUACACAAAAAUUGUUACAGGUCAAAAAUAUUUUUAAUAAAAUUACCUUUAAACAACCUAUAGAUUGCAAAAUUUGUCUAAAUUUUAUUUUUAAAUUAAUUUUGAGCCUAAUUUUGUCAAUAAAUUUUAAAUUCUAAUUACAUAUGUUUUUUUUAGCCCAACGACCCUUUAAUCUUAAUUUUUAUUGUUUUGUAUUCUUUUUUUAUUUUAUUAUUAUUAUUAUUAUUAUUAUUAUGUUUUAUUUUAUUUUAUUUUUACUUUUUUUUCUUUUUCUCUCCUCUCUCUUCCUCCCAUAUUAUUAUGUUUUUUUUAUUUUAUUUUUUCCCCUCUUUAUUCUUCUACUAUUUCCUCUCCCCCAUUCCCCUCUUCCUUUUUUCUUUUUCUACUUCUCCUUGGACUCACGAUCGGCUCCCUUAUUUGGGUUUCUCAUUCUCUUCUUCUACUAUUUCCUCCCACCCAUUCCCCUCUUUCUUUUUUCUUUUUCUGCUUCUCCCUGGACUCACGAUCGGCUCCCUCAUUUGGGUUUCCCCAUUCUCUUCUUCUACUAUUUCCUCCCCCCCCCCCAUUUCCAAGAAUGGUCGGCCCCCCAUUCCCCUCUUCUUUUUUUCUUUUUCUGCUUCUCCCUGGACUCACGAUCGGCUCCCUCAUUUGGGUUUCCCCAUUCUCUUCUUCCUCUUCUCUCCCCCAACUCUCAUGUGGCCGACUCCUCCAUUUUCCCCAUUCUUCUUCAUUUUUUUUUCCCAACACCACUCCUCACACUCUACUCAUAGUCGGCUCCCUCAUUUGGGCUUCCCCAUUCUCUUCUUCCUCUUCUCUCUCCCAACACCCAUUUCCGGCCACACGUGCCCCCCUCUCAAUUUUUCCCCUAUUUUUUUCUUUUUAUUUUAUUUUUCUUCCUCUUCUACCCAUUUUUCUUCCAAUCUUUUUCCCUCCAUUUUUCUUUCCUUUCUCUUCCUCCACCAUACCCCACUUCCAAAGACACACCACAUGACCCUUUUCUUUUCCCCCUUUUCUCCCAUCCUCUCCUCAUUUCUCCAUUUUUUUUCUACUCUUCAUUUUUUUUUCUUUUUUUAUUUUUUAUUUUAUUCCCAAAAAAGCCAUCAACUAUCUCCGACAUGAUCACCGACCAACCGUCGUCGGCAAACCCCUACUGGCCAACGACCUCCUCUCCUUUUAUCUCAUUCUCUCAUUUUCCCAUCACACCCAAUUCUCAUUAUUAUUAUUAUUAUUAUUAUUAUUAUUAUUAUUAUUAUUAUUAUUAUUAUUACUACUACUACUACUAUUACUAAUUUUUUUUCUUUAUAUUUCUUGAUUUGAUUUUAAUAGUAAUUACGGUUAAAAUUGAGCUUGUGCAUUUAUGUUUAUUUGUGGGCCUUAUGUUUGGGCUUUGUUAAUUAGUAUGAAAUUUAGGUUAAUUUGUUAUUGGUAAAUUAAUAUGAAAUUGGGGAUAAUUUAUUGUUGGUGAAUUAAUUUAGAAUUGACUAAUUUAGAUUAGAUUAAUUGAUAAUUAUAUGGUUGUGCUCAUUUUAAUUAUUUAAUUUGGAUUGAUAUAAUAUUGUGGUAUAUUUUGGAUGUGAGUUUGCAUAUUAAAUUAGGUUGAUUUUGGUUGUGGAUUUAAAUUUUACAUAUUAAAUUGGGCAUCGAUUAUGAGAUAUUAAAUUUAGACUUAAUUGAAUUUAUUUUGAUUUAUUGUAUCUGGGUUUGACUAAUUGUGCUUGUAUUUUGAUAAUUAAUUGAGAAAUUUUGCACUAUGAUUAUUGAUAUGUAAGAUAUUUUUGUAGGGUUAUACUUACUGAUUUGGGUCUAUUUUUAAUUGGUAAAAUUUGUUAAACUAAUUUGAAAUUCGAAUUUGGGUUUGAAUAUUUGUUUAUGAUUUUGUACAUUUCUAGAUAUUUACAUUUGAGCUAUUUUUGUUUUUGCAUGGACCUAUUCUGUAGUUUUGUUGGCUGAAAUUGAUGACACGUGGAACAUGAAAUUUUAUGGAAGAAAGUGAGAUUGAAAAAGCUGUCAAAAGACAUUGAGCUUGUUGUAAGUUUAUUUUGGUACAUAUUUUAUUUCUCACUUUUAUUUGGUUUUAUUUUUAUUAAUUCUUGUAAAUAUUCGUUCGUAUAUAUUUAUUGAGUGUGUACAGAAUUGAACAUCGAACAAACUAGAAAUUUUGUUUAAAUGAGAGGAAGAAUUCAAUAAAUACGUUUGAAUAAAAUAAUAAUUUUAAAAUAAUUUUUUUUAAUAAAAGAAAGUUUUUUUUAUUAUAAAAAUUCAGAAAAAUGCAUUUAGAAAAAUCCAAAAGAAUUGUUUGUAAUAGAAUUUGAAAAAUUGUCCAAAAAUUGUUUUGUAAAUAAAGUUGUCCCAAAAAUUAAUUUUUAAUAAAAUUUUCCAAAAAAUGUUUUUUUUUAAAUGAAUUUUUUUCCUUAAUUAAAAUGAGAUUAAAAGUAUUCUUUUUAGAAAUAAAGGAUUAUUUUUUUUUUCUUUCUUUUUAAUUAAAAUUUCUUUUGUAAAUAAAGUUAUGUAUUUUUAAAUAAUUUCUAUAAAUCUCUUUUUUUAAAUGAAAAUGAAUCAAAAUACUUUUGUAAAUAAAAUUGUAAAAAUUCAUUAUUUCCUAGUAAAAACAAGUAAAAAUAAUCUUUGUGCUCAAAUUGAAAUUUUGUAAUAAAUUCUUUUGAUACAAGAAGUGUAAAUAACUUUUCUUGAAAAUUAAAUACAAAUGAAAUUGAAUCAAAUCACUUGAAGAAAAUAUUUUGUAAAUACGUAAAUUGAAAUCACUUAUUCAAAAUUGUUUUUAAUAAAAUCAUUUGAAAUUUUCAGAAAACUAAUUUUUUUUUCAAAUAUUUUUUUAAUUAGUUCAAUAAAUCAAUUUGCAUAAUCCUCUUGUCACUUAUUUUGUGUAUCAUUGUAAUUAGGUUUCAUCAUUAUUUUUGUGUAUAUUGAUUUUCAUCGUGAUUUGUACAUACUCAUUUGCAUGAUUAUUUUUUUUAUUAUCCAUAAUUAAUUAAUUAAUUGUCACGAUCCCUUAAUUCGUUUAGUAGAAGUCGUACGUAUACGGGCUUAGAGAGGUGCUAUGGCUCACUACCGUACCUUCCUAAUAAGUAACCUGACCCCCAUACCCAGACUCGAUUUUUCACAGACUUAUUUUUCCUUCAAGAGUCAUACUUGGAAUUUUUCUUUCUUAUUUUGUUUUUCCCUUAAAAAAAAAUGGCAAUUCCAAGUCUUUUUCUAAAAAUUAAAUUUUCACAAAAUUCGUAGAAUGCAAACCUCCCACUAUGAUGAGACAUUCGUGCACUAGAAGUAUCAAGAAAGGAAUGUGCUUAUACCUAUAGAACCAUAGUACUCUAUGCAAUAUGAGAAAGAGAUGUGUUUAUACCGUUCCAUAGUACCUUGUGUAAUAUGGGAUUAUCUUCGAAUGUCCUCCGGUCUAUAUCAUUCUUUGCUUUAUUUUUAUCAUAUAUUUUUCAUCAUAAGUUGAUGUUUGUAUCAACAAAUGCUUUCUAAUUGUCUUGACUAUAAAGGUAAUAAUCCUUAAAAUCCUCUUGAAUAUCUUAUAAACUGAUAUGCCUCUUACCUUAUUUCCAACUAGUUUACAUUUGAGUUCAACACGAGUAUUGGACACUCUUAUAUGCAAAUAUUUUUGUAAACCAAGUUUACAACGUGUCCACAUAUCUAGAAGUCAAAGUUACCAACCUAGUAAUGGAAGUAAAAUACAGUCUCCAAGGCAUAUCCCAAACAGAUAUGGGAAGUGAUGAGAAACCAAUUGUCAAUCUCAUUAUAUCUAUCAAAGUUCAAUUUCUUUUUUCCAUUACCCCAUUUGUAAUGAAGUCCUUGGUGCACACAAUUAGGAUAUAAUCACGUGUUCCUAUGGAAAGAAUUGAACCUACUAGACACACCACCUUGAUUUAAUUGAAGUGCAAUGAUAUGUUAACCCAAUAGAUCAUUUGAUUUUGCCUUAAAUACACCAAAUUUAUCUAAGGCAUCAAGUUUCAUAUAUACUAAAUACACAUAUCCAAACCUAGAGUAUUAAAAAAUAAAAGUGAUAAAGCACCCAUACCCUCCUCAUGUAUGAACUCCAAAGUUACAUACAUGUCAAUAUGUACUAACUCCAAACAUUCAUUAGCUCUAUAUCCUUUUGCAAUAAAAGUCUCUUGGUUAUUUUAUCACCUAUACAGGAUUCACAAAUUGGAAGAUCCUUUGGAACCAAAGUGUUUAUACUUAAUCAAUCUUUGGAUCCUGUUUAGAUUUAUAUGACUUAGGCAUUAGAAGUCAAAUGUUUGAUUAAUGCUAGGUUCAUUAUUAAGAUCUAACAAUUCUCAUUACUUAGCAAAGUGGUAAUGGAGUCACACAUAAAAGAGAAAGGUAAUUCCUCCCAGUAGCUUGCACAACUAACCUUGCAAUUGAAGCUAAGAUAAGUACAUCCCCAUUAUGAAACCUUCUCUAUAUCGAAUAUCUUGUAAUUAAUUACAGAUAAUGGGCCUAAAAUGAAUCCACCACUAAAUUUAUUCAACAAUGACUCUAUGAUGUGUACCUUUCUACUCUUAGGCAAUAUGCACAUUCCUUUUUCAAUAUCUCAAAGGGUUACAAAGAAAUUACUCUUCUUGACCUUAUACUCAUUCAUUUUCUUGAACUUUCCUUAUUUGAUGUUAUUCUUCUUCUCUUUGGUAGAAGAGCUUGAGAAACCUCUAACUUCCAUAUGAACACUUUUCAGUUUUUUGAAAUCCUCUUAUCCAUCCUAAUGGAAUUUGGUAAGAUCUUUAAGAUCAUAUAAACUAUGAUGUUCAAAAUAGUCCUAAGGGCAACUUGUUUAUUUAACUUGAAAAAAUAUAAAUUAAGUGGGACCCACUUAUUUUAUUUUAGUUCUAAUUUUAUUAAAAAUAAAUAUAUUUUAUAAAUAAAUAAAUAUUAUAAAAUUUUAGACCUAUUUUAUCUAAGAAGUAGAUUGUUUUUAUUAUUGUAUGUGUUAAAAAUAAAAUAAAAAUUAAAUUAAAUUAUUUUAAAAUUUAACUACAUAUAUAAUUGGAACAUAACAUAAUAAGACAAUAUUUUAUCUUAUCUCAAAUUAUAAUAACUACAAAUUUUUAUAAUUAGUUUGAAGAAAGAAAUUACUAUUUUUGUUACCAGAUGAGGCAUUCCUUCAUCCAAAUUUAGUUCAAAUGGGUUUGCAAAAUUUUUUUCAAAGAAGUGAAUGUUCACAUGGGCUUUAUUUGAUUGGAAAGAGUUGAAGCAAGUUCUUAUGUUGUUAAUUAGUUUAGCAAUUAUCAAUUGUCAUUAGAGCUAACAUUCUUUUGUUAUAGUAGGUUCUCUAUGCUUCUAGAAUCUUCCAAUUGUAUCUCCACUCAAAUAUAAUAACUUAAGAAGAUCAAAAGUCCUGAACAAUUGUUGAAAACUCAUACAUAAGAUACUAUGAAAUUGUUUCUCUAUUCAUUGUUUUUUUUAAUAUGGUAUCAAAGCCAUUUGACUUACCUCUAUGGCUUAAGUUGCAACAAUGACAAUUAGUGUCUUCUCAUCGAGCACCUCCAAUGGCAACUCCCUCAUUGACAUUCUCAUCCAUACUUUCUCCACUAUCUUUGAAACUCACAAGGAACAACUAUGGAUUUUGGCACUUACAAAUUCUUCUUAUUGUGCAAGCUCUUGAUCUUGAAGGUUAUUUGCUUAGAACAAUAGUGUGUCCCCCUUGUUUCAUCUUGAACAGAAAUGAAAACUCUUUAAUAAUCAAUCUAUAAUUUGUGACCUAGGCCAUAAUAGACCAAUUCAUCUUGAGUGGGCUUCUUUUUUUUUUUUUCUUUCUAAGCCAAUGUUUGGUCGUAUUGUUCAAUGUAAAACUGUUGUUGAAGUGUGGCAUAUUUUUUUAUCAUUUGUUCUUCAUCAACUCCAAAUCUCGAGUACAACAUCUUCAAUAUACGUUUUUGUAAGAAGCUUUUAAGGGUUCUUUGAGUAUUGCUAACUAUUUUCUACGAAUGAAGGAGAUUGUUGAUACUUUGUCUGCAAUUGGUAAGCCUAUCGCUAAUGAGCAAUUGUUGAUGUGCAUCUUUGGUGGUUUAGUCAUGAAUUUGAUGAUGUAAUUGUCAAUCUUCAAUCAAGAAAAGAUUUUGUCUUUGUUGAAGAAGCUCGGUUUCUUUUUCAAAAUUAUGAGAUGAGAAUUAAAAAACUCAACUCUAUUUCAAGAAUCAAUAAUCGACCCUUUAAUAACUUUGUUGCCAAGGCCACAAAAGAAAUAAGUACCAUUUCUCUAGAGCUCCUAACGUAGUUCUUUUGUAGUGGUCAUAUUGCAUUGAAGUGUUACCAUUGGUUCAACAUUAGCUUCAUAGAACCACCACAACAAUAGCAAUACAAAAAUUAUGCUCAAUAAGACACUCAUUCACAAGACAAUGCUCAAGCUUACUUUGUCAUGGUAGCCACAUUUUAUGAUCUUAAUUGGUAUAUGGAUACAAAAGCAACAAAUCGCAUUACUACUAAUCUCAACAAUCUAACCCUCAAGAUAGACUACAAAAGCAAAGAAACACUUGAUGUAGACAAUGGUAAUUCUCUAAAAAUACGUCGUAUUGAUUUUUUAACUAUAUCCUCUAGUUUUUCACCGCAACCAUUAUAUCUCAAGGAUAUCUUAUACAUACAUAUAAUUACAAAAAUUUUAUGUAGCAUCUCUAAAUUCAUCGAGGACAACAAUAUAGUUGUCGAAUUAUAUGAUGAUUGUUGUCUUGUGAAGGACAAGAACAUGAGGAGGAUUUUGAUGUAGGGCAAGCUUAAAGGAGGGCUUUAUCAACUUGAUGUUCUAGUUUUCUCAAGAAACUUGAAAACUUUCUCGACCUCUAGCUUCAAUUUUCCUUUAGUGUCUUUAGCACAUGUUAAAUCUAAUGAGUCUUCUACGAAGGUUAUGGACACUUGGAAUAGCAGGCUUGGUAAACCUUAUGACCAAGUGUUGAAGAAUGUACUCACGAUUUUACAUUUGUCUCUUAUAGCUAAGAAUCUUCAAUUCUGUGAAGCUAGUCAGUAGGAAAAAACAUGCUAGAUGUUUUUAGAGCUAAGGACUUUGCUUCUAGAAUCUUCUAAUUGUAUCUACUCUUAAAUAUAACUCAAGAAGAUCAAAAGCCCUAUUAAAUUGCUGGAAACUCCUAUGAAGAAACACUUUGAAAUUGUUUCUCUUAUUAAUUUUGUAUGCUUUAGAUCAAUGUCACAUGAAACUAUGGGGGCAAACCCAUCUAAAAAAAGGCCCCUCUUUCCUCAGACCCCUUCUUGUAUUUCUUUUUCUUAAUCACUAAAAGGCCUUAUUCCCUACAAAUUUUCUUGCAAACCAAACAUCAGGGGGAAACUUCAACCUUUCUUUCAUUACUUUCCCCCACCCUCCCUCAACAGAACACUUUAGCUUAAUUACAAAGCUCCGACAGUACUUCAAAGAUUGGAAAAAAUACACAAGGGAGAAACAGAAAAACUAAUCAAAAUUCCAUAGAUUUACCAAAUUCUCACUGGAUCUAGAAGAAAAAACAUACAAAGAUCGUCUCAUCUACAUACAAAACCUCUCACAUAUCCUUCAGACAUGAAACAUCCCUAGAACCCUUAUCCACAGCUGCUGCAGUCAACCUCUCAGCGACUAAGUGUGGGAAGCAACAAUCCACUUGGGUCAACCAGGAAACCCCAAUAUUCCUCCAUGAAGACUCCAACACCAGUAAAACAACAUACAGAAACACCACCACAGAGAUUGCAGUGGAGAGACAAAGCUGAUCUUCUGUCAAACUCAACAACAUCUUCACACAUAGAAAUGUUUGGGGUUGGGUUGUGAGGAGUGGAGACAGAGAUAAAAGGAAGCUAUAUGCAGAUGGGAAAGGAGUUGUUUCAAUGAAUUUGGUAUGGUGGAUGAAUCAAAGGUGUUCAAUCAGUGAGUGUCAGAGGGGGGCGCAUGAAGACUUCUGAGUGAAGUCAUGAUGAGGGUGUGGGCACCAUUCAUUGAAUAUGAGUGCAUGUUGCUGUGGGUUAUCACCCUUUAUCAUAUUCUUUUGAUGGAAUCUCGCUCUAUGUUCAUGCAUCACUGUUAUGUUCCCUACAAUACAUGCAUCUUCUUAGGGAGAUCAAAAAUUAGAAACAUUUGUCAUUAUCUUCUAGAAUGCAAUUUUACC
rnacentral:lncRNA from 1 species